rnacentral:rRNA from 1 species
UACGUAGGGUGCGAGCGUUAAUCGGAAUUACUGGGCGUAAAGGGCGCGUAGGCGGCCUUCUAAGUCGAACGUGAAAUCCCCGGGCUCAACCCGGGAACUGCGUCCGAUACUGGAAGGCUUGAAUCCGGGAGAGGGAAGCGGAAUUCCAGGUGUAGCGGUGAAAUGCGUAGAUAUCUGGAGGAACACCGGUGGCGAAGGCGGCAUCCUGGACCGGCAUUGACGCUGAGGCGCGAAAGCCAGGGGAGCAAACGGG